AUGGCGACCACCAUCACGUUCGUGAUCCAUCUCGUCAUGAAGGGCAUGUCACCUCCAAGCAUCAUGUGCACAACGACGACGAACGACAUCUACUACGAGAUCAAGCACGACAACGACAUCAUCAAUGAAGAUGCUCAACACGCGCAAACGUACAAGUCCGAACAGGCCCUACUUCACACCAAGUCCAAGCUUCAUGAGCAUAAGAGAAGACCGCGAGACAAGCACCACCAAGAGCACCCUACGGCUACAACAACCACUUCGGCAUCUUCGCCUUCGGGCGUAGGGCAUCUUCACCUACUUCCCAUGAAUUCGCCUACAUCAACAUCUUCAACUACAAGGCGCCCAACUACGAGCAAGGGAGACACUUCCAUCUUCGGAAGCCCCUCAAGGAAGAUGGCCGAGCAUGGGAAUUUCCCUUCGGUCAUGGAGACGAGCUAUGAGGUGCCACAUCAUUUGGGCCUCCUACAACAAGAUGGCGACAAGAAGGUCGAGCUAGGGCCAUCCCCUUCGACCACGGCGACGAGCACGAACCUCUUCAACAACAUGAAGACGGCGCCCAUAUUGGACUCAUACUCCGAGUCAAGCUACGAGACCGCUCAUGAGACCUUAUCUUUGGUCUUGGAGGAGAGUGAUGAUGUGCCAUCUUUGGCCUUCAUCCACGGCUACGACCAUGACAUGAUUGAGCAUGGAGACAUUUGCACCUACAUCUCUCCGACACCCACAUGUGACGAGAUGCCCCAAUUGCCAUGUGAGGAGAUCCACCACCACAUGAGUGACUCCACCACACGUGACAUUGAGAGCAUUUCCUAUGAGAGGAUGAGUGUGACCACCACUAGCCCCACACAUGAGAGCAUGCCACACAUCCUAUGUGAGGUUGAGAGCCAUUUGAGUGACUCCACCAAACAUAUGAGUGAGAGCAUCAAAGAGGGAGUGCGUGAGCCACAACACUUAGUGAGUGACGUAGUUGACGUGGCAUGUGAGGCCACCUUGAUUUCUAACGACUUAACCUCUACUCCUGGUGUGUUUUCUUCUUUGGUGCUAGGUCUCCUACACGAUGACACGCUUAUCCUCGACGAGUCCAUACCUCCAAUGGAGAUGACGAUGGCCAUGGUGGACGAUGAUGCACCCCCACAUAGUUCCAUCAAGAUGAAUAUGACCACGACUCGGUCUUCGACACCUCACCUACAACACAUGAGCGAUGCUCCAAAGGUAACAUAG
rnacentral:rRNA from 1 species